AUUGAACGCUAGCGGCAUGCCUUACACAUGCAAGUCGAACGAGUGGCGGACGGGUGAGUAAUAUAUCGGAACCUGCCCAGUAGCGGGGGAUAACUACUCGAAAGAGUGGCUAAUACCGCAUACCAUCGGAUGGGCCCAUAUCGGAUUAGCUAGUUGGUGGGGUAAAGGCUCACCAAGGCAACGAUCCCUAGCUGGUUUGAGAGGACGACCAGCCACACUGGAACUGAGACACGGCCCAGACUCCUACGGGAGGCAGCAGUGGGGAAUAUUGCACAAUGGGGGAAAGCCUGAUGCAGCCAUCCCGCGUGUAUGAGAAGGCCUUCGGGUUGUAAAGUACUUUUAGCAGGGAAGCGGUAUCUGCAGAAUAAGCACCGGCUAACUACGUGCCAGCAGCCGCGGUAAUUC
rnacentral:rRNA from 1 species